ensembl:lncRNA
AUCAACUUUCUCUCCUCUCAGGGCACAAACCAGGCUCUCCAUAUGCUGGGGAAGGAAACAGACAGACCCAUAGGGAUGAUGGUCAUCAAACCCAGGACUCUUUUGAGAUCAAGAGCUGAUUCCUUCCUGGAGUGCAAGGAGAUAGGAGAGGUUGUUCAUCUCCUAGAUCAGUGGGUAAAAAGGACAAGACUCCACAUGAAGACCUCCUAUAAGAGGGGACUGUAA